rnacentral:rRNA from 1 species
GACGAACCGUGCGAACGUUGUUCGGAAUCACUGGGCUUAAAGGGUGCGUAGGCGGGCUCGUUAGUCGGGGGUGAAAUCCCACGGCCCAACCGUGGAAGUGCCUCCGAUACUGCGGGCCUAGAGGGGGAUAGGGGCGUGCGGAACUUCCGGUGGAGCGGUGAAAUGCGUAGAUAUGCGGAGGAACACCGAUGGCGAAGGCAAUCCCCUGGGCCUGCACUGACGCUCAUGCACGAAAGCGUGGGGAGCAAACAGG